rnacentral:rRNA from 1 species
UACGUAGGGUGCGAGCGUUGUCCGGAAUUACUGGGCGUAAAGAGCUCGUAGGUGGUUGUCGCGUUGUUCGUGAAAACUCACAGCUCAACUGUGGGCGUGCGGGCGAUACGGGCAGACUGGAGUACUGCAGGGGAGACUGGAAUUCCUGGUGUAGCGGUGGAAUGCGCAGAUAUCAGGAGGAACACCGGUGGCGAAGGCGGGUCUCUGGGCAGUAACUGACGCUGAGGAGCGAAAGCGUGGGGAGCGAACAGG